rnacentral:lncRNA from 1 species
UUCUGUCUAGUUUGUCUGCAAGUUUUGAAAGAGUCCACUAGAGGGCAAAUGAACUGCUGUAUGUGGAUUUGCAAUCCAUUAUGGGAUGGAAUAUGGUUCUGUUCACUCUAAAACCUGUAUGAUUAUUUGUCAUUACAUGUCAACAUUAAGCUGAAGCUUAAUUUAUAUUGUGAAGCUUGAUAGAUAUGUAUUAUAAUUUUUUUAAUCUGGUAUUUUGUCUUAAGUUAUUUUAUUUAAGGUCUUACGGUACAGAGGACCAUGGUGCUAGCUUUCUGAAAAGGCUCUUGGUGCUAUACCAGGAGGCUUCCAAUAAACAAACACACACAAACUGAGUAAAACCAUGGGCAUAUAAGCAGAGCUGAGUGCCGAGUUGGAGAGCUACACUGUUGUGUUGUGAAAAGUUGCUAAGCAACCAUCUAAGAAUAAGGCUGGAGAGUGAAGUGGGGUGUUCAGCUUAGAGAUCUAGGGUGAGGUGAAACAGAAAGGGUGAGCAUUAGCGCAAGAAAGAGAGGAGAGGGGGGGAAAAAGAAUGUAACCGCAGAAUCAUCGGUGUGAUCUUCACAGCCAAACGGAGAGGAGCCCUUCAUCUCACUAGCCAAGAGUCAAACAGCGAAUUGGGUGGUCGUAAUCCUCCUGCAGCCAAACCCUGCGACCUGCAGUUCCUCCCCUAGUGAGGCCUGUCCGGGGGGGAGCAUGUCUGACAUGUGGUCUCUGGAGAGGAUGCUGAACCGGACCACUCUCUCCACACAGAGGCUGCUCCACACACACAUCCUGGGUGUGGGACAGCAGUUUCUUCCUCCCAAGUCUUCCUCCACAAGCCCCAGCCAAGCCCCAGGGCUGGCCUCUCUCGCCCCCCAGUUGGAGAAGCCUGAUGUGGGGGCCACACAGAGAGAGUAUCCCUGGAUGGAAGAAAUUCUGGAAAAGGCUGAGAAGGAUAAAGGGAGUGCCCUGAAACAACAGGGGGAGCGUCUGCAGGUGCACUUCAAAGAGGCCGUGCUGGCGAGGGAGAGGCUGGAGGCCGAGUGGAGGCAGGGCGAGCGGGUAGCGCAGCAGGCCGUGUUUGCGGAGCGCCUCGUGGGGCUGCGGGAGGAGAUGGAGAGAGAGAUGAGACUGGCGGUGAAUGAGAUGUGUGGGAGGAUGAGGGCCAAGAUGCAGGGAGAGGCGGAAGAGGAGAGACUGAGAGAGGCAGAGGCCGUGGAGGCUAAAAUACAGGAGGAGAGAGAGAGGAGUGUUAGGGAGACGGAGCUACGAGUCCAACGGCAGUGUGAACAAGAGGCUCAGGAGGACCGAGAGGCUCUCCAGGAAAGACAUGCAGUGGAACUUUGCCGAAUGCAGACCAGGCAGUGGCAGCUGGAGCAGACUUUGUCCCGGGUCACAGGGGAGAAGAUGCGAUACGAAACAGAGUUUAAGAGAUUACAGUGUAGCUACAGACAGUUUGUGGAUCUGACCGAGUCCUCCCUCCACUCCGACUACCUGUUGAAGCUCCGUCACCUUGGUCGAGAGCCUGGAUACACUGAUGUGGGCGUUCAAACGGAUGAUGUCAUCAACGAGGGACACCUUCCCGGAUCAACUCAGUGAUGCAUCUUCCUGCUGCUCGAGGCAGGGGUACUGAGACACGUGCCUUUUGGAUCAGCUAAUUGUUUGCAAUCUUGAUCUGAACUAUUAGCUGUUAAAGUGUAACUCUGAUCUUAGAUCAGCACACAGGAACAUUAUCUGUCACCUUGGGCGUUCCAGUGGAGCUCCCAGAUGCCUCUGCUCUGUCAUCAGGAAUGUGUCCAUAUAGGGAAUGAAAAUUAUGCCACAAUGUAUUUAGAAAUAAAUCAGAUUUUCAAUUGAAUAUGUUGUCUUGUGAAUUUACUUCAAUCUGCAUUGAUUACAAGCAUAUUUC